AUUUUCCUACAGGCUCGAUUCGAAUUCAUUUGUGAAUCUUGUAAAAGCUCUUUUUCAGUAUUUACACUUACUUUGGCCAAAAAUUUUCUGAACUCAAUCUCACGAAUUGCAUAGGACUUCUCUUUUUCUAUCAAAGUCGAUAGAUUCCAUCUAGAUGCAUCCUACUCCAAACAGCAAAUCUGAACAUACUGAAGCCAACAUGCAC
rnacentral:lncRNA from 1 species